GGUCUAGUGGCCCAAUGGCAAGGCGUUUGACUACGAAUCAAAAGAUUGCAGGUUCGAUCCCUGCCUAGAUCA